UGGCUCAGUUGGUAGAGCAUGGUGUUUGUAACGCCAGGGUUGUGGGUUCGAUUCCCAU
rfam:Salmo salar isolate Sally breed double haploid chromosome ssa25, whole genome shotgun sequence.